GGAUUCACUCAAUGGUAGAGCAUCUGUUUUGCAUGCAGAAGACCCAAGGUUCAAUGCCUGGCAUCUUCU